rnacentral:rRNA from 1 species
GACGGAGGGGGCUAGCGUUGUCCGGAUUUACUGGGCGUAAAGGGCGCGUAGGCGGUCCUUUAAGUCGGCGGUGAAAUUUCGCGGCUCAACUGCGAAACUGCCGCCGAUACUGGAGGACUUGAGUUCGGGAGAGGAAAGUGGAAUUCCUGGUGUAGCGGUGAAAUGCGUAGAGAUCAGGAAGAACACCCGUGGCGAAGGCGGCUUUCUGGACCGAUACUGACGCUGAGGCGCGAAAGCUAGGGGAGCGAACGGG